GAGCCUGAGAAACGGCUACCACAUCCAAGGAUGGCAGCAGGCGCGCAAAUUACCCAAUCCCGACACGGGGAGGUAGUGACAAUAAAUAACAAUACGGGGUUCUUUAGGAUCUCGUAAUUGGAAUGAGUACAAUUUAAAUCUCUUAACGAGGAACAAUUGGAGGGCAAGUCUGGUGCCAGCAGCCGCGGUAAUUCCAGCUCCAAUAGCGUAUAUUAAAGUUGUUGCAGUUAAAAAGCUCGUAGUUGAAUUUCGGGGUUAGUAGGUUGGUCAUGCCUCUGGUAUGUACUGGUCUCACUGAUUCCUCCUUCCUUAUGAACCGUAAUGCCAUUAAUUUGGUGUUGCGGGGAAUUUGGACUGUUACUUUGAAAAAAUUAGAGUGUUUAAAGCAAGCUAACGCUUGAAUACAUUAGCAUGGAAUAAUGAAAUAGGACGUUCGAUCUUAUUUUGUUGGUUUCUAGGAUUGACGUAAUGAUUAAUAGGGAUAGUUGGGGGCAUUAGUAUUCAAUUGUCAGAGGUGAAAUUCUUGGAUUUAUUGAAGACUAACUACUGCGAAAGCAUUUGCCAAGGAUGUUUUCAUUAAUCAAGAACGAAAGUUAGGGGAUCGAAGACGAUCAGAUACCGUCGUAGUCUUAACCAUAAACUAUGCCGACUAGGGAUCGGAUGAUGUUAAUUUUUUAAUGACUCAUUCGGCGCCUUACG
rnacentral:rRNA from 1 species